rnacentral:rRNA from 1 species
AUUGAACGCUGGCGGCAGGCCUAACACAUGCAAGUCGAGCGGAUGAAGGGAGCUUGCUCCUGGAUUCAGCGGCGGACGGGUGAGUAAUGCCUAGGAAUCUGCCUGGUAGUGGGGGAUAACGUCCGGAAACGGGCGCUAAUACCGCAUACGUCCUGAGGGAGAAAGUGGGGGAUCUUCGGACCUCACGCUAUCAGAUGAGCCUAGGUCGGAUUAGCUAGUUGGUGGGGUAAAGGCCUACCAAGGCGACGAUCCGUAACUGGUCUGAGAGGAUGAUCAGUCACACUGGAACUGAGACACGGUCCAGACUCCUACGGGAGGCAGCCGUGGGGAAUAUUGGACAAUGGGCGAAAGCCUGAUGCAGCCAUGCCGCGUGUGUGAAGAAGGUCUUCGGAUUGUAAAGCACUUUAAGUUGGGAGGAAGGGCAGUAAGUUAAUACCUUGCUGUUUUGACGUUACCAACAGAAUAAGCACCGGCUAACUUCGUG